UGCCAGCCGCCGCGGUAAUACGGAGGGGGUUAGCGUUGUUCGGAAUUACUGGGCGUAAAGCGCACGUGGGCGGAUUGGAAAGUUGGGGGUGAAAUCCCGGGGCUCAACCCCGGAACUGCCUCCAAAACUAUCAGUCUAGAGUUCGAGAGAGGUGAGUGGAAUUCCAAGUGUAGAGGUGAAAUUCGUGGAUAUCAGGAGGAACAUCAAUGGCGAAGGCAACUUACUGGACAUUUACUGACGCUCAGACACGAAGGCUAAGGUAGCGAAAGGGAUUAGAUA
rnacentral:rRNA from 1 species